GUACACUCCUGCGGGAGGCAGCAGUGGGGAAUUUUGGACAAUGGGCGAAAGCCUGAUCCAGCAAUGCCGCGUGAGUGAAGAAGGCCUUCGGGUUGUAAAGCUCUUUUGUCAGGGAAGAAACGGUGAAAGCUAAUAUCUUUUGCUAAUGACGGUACCUGAAGAAUAAGCACCGGCUAACUACGUGCCAGCAGCCGCGGUAAUAAGUAGGGUGCAAUCGUUAAUCGGAAUUACUGGGCGUAAAGCGUGCGCAGGCGGUUUUGUAAGUCUGAUGUGAAAUCCCCGGGCUCAACCUGGGAAUUGCAUUGGAGACUGCAAGGCUAGAAUCUGGCAGAGGGGGGUAGAAUUCCACGUGUAGCAGUGAAAUGCGUAGAUAUGUGGAGGAACACCGAUGGCGAAGGCAGCCCCCUGGGUCAAGAGUGACGCUCAUGCACGAAAGCGUGGGGAGCAAACAGGAUUAGAUACCCCUGUAGUCCCAUG
rnacentral:rRNA from 1 species